rnacentral:tRNA from 1 species
AUUUAAGUAGUUUAUUAAAAAUAUUGAUUUGUGGUGUCAAUGAAGUAAAAUUUUACCUUAAAUC